UACGAAGGGGGCUAGCGUUGCUCGGAAUCACUGGGCGUAAAGCGCACGUAGGCGGCUUUUUAAGUCAGGGGUGAAAUCCUGGAGCUCAACUCCAGAACUGCCUUUGAUACUGGAAGGCUUGAGUCCGGGAGAGGUGAGUGGAACUGCGAGUGUAGAGGUGAAAUUCGUAGAUAUUCGCAAGAACACCAGUGGCGAAGGCGGCUCACUGGCUCGGUACUGACGCUGAGGUGCGAAAGCGUGGGGAGCAAACAGG
rnacentral:rRNA from 1 species